rnacentral:rRNA from 1 species
UACGUAGGGGGCAAGCGUUGUCCGGAAUCAUUGGGCGUAAAGCGCGUGUAGGCGGUUCAGUAAGUCUGCUGUGAAAGUCCAGGGCUCAACCCUGGGAUGCCGGUGGGUACUGCUGGGCUAGAGUACGGAAGAGGCGAGUGGAAUUCCCGGUGUAGCGGUGAAAUGCGCAGAUAUCGGGAGGAACACCUAUUGCGAAGGCAGCUCGCUGGGACGUUACUGACGCUGAGACGCGAAAGCGUGGGGAGCAAACAGG